AACGAACGCUGGCGGCAUGCCUAACACAUGCAAGUCGAACGAGACCUUCGGGUCUAGUGGCGCACGGGUGCGUAACGCGUGGGAAUCUGCCCUUGGGUUCGGAAUAACAGUUAGAAAUGACUGCUAAUACCGGAUAAUGUCUUCGGACCAAAGAUUUAUCGCCCAGGGAUGAGCCCGCGUAGGAUUAGCUAGUUGGUGAGGUAAAGGCUCACCAAGGCGACGAUCCUUAGCUGGUCAGAGAGGAUGAUCAGCCACACUGGGACUGAGACACGGCCCAGACUCCUACGGGAGGCAGCAGUGGGGAAUAUUGGACAAUGGGCGAAAGCCUGAUCCAGCAAUGCCGCGUGAGUGAUGAAGGCCUUAGGGUUGUAAAGCUCUUUUACCCGGGAUGAUAAUGACAGUACCGGGAGAAUAAGCCCCGGCUAACUCCGUGCCAGCAGCCGCGGUAAU
rnacentral:rRNA from 1 species